CAGGGCUAAGGUUUCGGGACUAAAUGUCCCACCUUUAGUCCCGGUUUGGUAACAGCAACCGGGACUAAAAGAUACGCCACAGUGUGCCACCUGGCCUCCACUUUUAGCCCGGUUGGUGUUACCAACCGGAACUAAUGAGUUUUUUCUUUUUUCUUUUAUUCCUUCUGGUUUUCCAUUUAGGGUUUACAAUUAUGUUAUUAUUAUUUUCGAAUGCGUAUUGUUUGCUGCUAGUUUAUGGAAAUGCGCAACUAUAAUUUAUAUAAAUUUAAAGCAUUACAUAUAAAAAUACUAUAAAACACUAUAUAUAUUAUAUGUAUCUAUAGGUCCAUAAUAUAAUAUUUACACAUAUGCAUCACGGAUAAAGUAUUUACAACAAAAUUUAUCUCCACCACUCAAGCAUCGUACAAAUGAUCAUCGUGAUUUGGUUUCAUUGGCUCCUUAGGGUUGAAGUAGCACUCGCCGCCAUGAUUCAGGACUUAGUCGUUAAGAAAUCCUGUGAUUGUCUUUUGAAUUACUUUUAGGCGCUCCGCAUCCAACACCUGCUCCUUCAACCACAUCUCCUUUAAUAGACAUUAAAGAAAAAAAGUUAGAGGUAUGAAUAAGAUUUAUUAAAUAACAACAAAUAAAUAAAAUAAACUUAUUAUAAAUACAUGUUACAUAUUUUAGGUGCUCAAGAUUAGUUCUUUUGGUAUAGACCGUCAUAAACUCGCACACAUAGUAGCCACACAAAUUGUUGCCUGGUGUCUGCAGUAGAACCCACCGAAGUAAGAUAGGCUUUAAAAGUGGCGCUUUCAAAUCUGGACCGUGUUUCAGUAGGUACCCAGCCUAAACCCUAGCAAUAAAACGAUUAUUAUUAAUUAUCUAUUUCCGAGUUAAAAGAGCAGAAUUUAAUAUUUAGAGAUCAGAGUUAUCCUUGGAUAAUAUCUAUCAUUUCUUGGUAAUCUUUCUGUGGUUUUCUCAACGAGUCAUAGAUUACCAGAUGACAUUGACACAGAUCAAUGACAAUUAGUAUCCAAUAAAAGCUGCAUUUGUGUGCAUGUAGGCAAAAUAAUUAUAUAUCUUCAUACUGAUCUGAUUAAUUAGUUAAAUAGAAUGUACACAUCGAUGUUUGAACUAUAUUCAUUUCCAAUUACUAGCAGGGGCACUGAUUGCUUUGAUUAUUCCCCGAGCUGUGCUACACCCUUGCGUGCUCUUUUCUCUUUCUCCUUCGCUUCUUCUAUAGAUUUCCUCAGAGUGCGAUCAUAGUCCGAUAAAGAUGAUGAUUCUUUCUGAGCUUCACACCUCUUUUUUUGUUGAGCCUCAACCCUUUGUUGUAGAUCUUCUGGCCGUAGUAAGAGGUAUGGCUUGCCAGGGUUUCUCUUGGCUUCACUUUCAGCAUUAAGUUUCUUGAAGAUACUGUCCAUAUUUGACUUUACCGAAGCAUCUAGUUCUGUAUCAGUUAUCUCAUAGGUGGCGG
rnacentral:lncRNA from 1 species